UACGGAGGGUGCGAGCGUUGUCCGGAAUCAUUGGGCGUAAAGGGCGCGUAGGUGGCGGGACAAGCGUGCGGUGAAAGCCUGGGGCUCAACCCCGGGUCGGCCGUGCGAACUGUUUUGCUUGAGCACUGUAGAGGCAGGCGGAAUUCCGGGUGUAGCGGUGAAAUGCGUAGAUAUCAGGAGGAACACCCGAGGCGAAGGCGGCUCUCUGGGUCGUACCUGACGCUGAGGCGCGAAAGCGUGGGGAGCAAACAGG
rnacentral:rRNA from 1 species